rnacentral:rRNA from 1 species
UACGUAGGGGGCAAGCGUUGUCCGGAUUUAUUGGGCGUAAAGAGCGUGUAGGCGGCCUGGUAGGUCAGCUGUGAAAACUCGAGGCUCAACCUCGAGACGCCGGUUGAAACCAUCAGGCUAGAGUCCGGAAGAGGAGAGUGGAAUUCCCGGUGUAGCGGUGAAAUGCGCAGAUAUCAGGAAGAACACCAAUGGCGAAGGCAGCUCUCUGGGACGGUACUGACGCUGAGACGCGAAAGCGUGGGGAGCGAACAGG